ensembl:lncRNA
AUCACUUUUAAGAGAGAUCUUCAGUCUGGGAGAGACCUGUAAUCAUGUCGAAUUAUCUUUAAAGGCAACUUCUGUUUCAUAAAUGCGAAGCUGACAGGCAAAAAUCUGGAGGACUGGUUCUAGUUUAUGGCAUAUCACAUACAUCAAAGUGCAUUGCUGUGUGAUGGGGUCACCUUGCUUGGCAGCACCGCAGAAGCCCAAGGCCCAUCUUGGGCCCCUUCAGGUGGAAAUCAGCUCCUGCUCGCUGGAUGCAGGGACCAACCCACCGUGCUGCCAUCCCAUGGCUCCUGGCAUGUGCUCCCUGCUUUGCAAGGGAAAUUGAAAAAGGUGAUGUAUGGACUAUUUUUCUUCCUUCUUGGUUUAACCUCUAAUACGUUGAUGGUGCUAAAGGCUGCUACCUGAGUACCUGCAGGCACACUCGGUGGGCAGGUGGAGGUGUGUUAGGAGGAGCAGAGCUUUCUGACUCUCCAACAUGUGCACGUGGAGGCCUCCAUCCAAAGACUGCAGGCUGCUUCCACAUCGGCAGGGCAAGGCAUGGGGGACUCAUGGGAGCUUUUCCUGCAGUUCGCAGCGCAACAGCACUGUGGAAGAGCGCCAGCUGGAACUGCCAUCUGAGCUGGGUGCGGUGCUGAGCCACCAGGACUCGCUGGACUUCAGAAACAGAAGGACUGGGAACAAAGAUCACGUUUGUCAGCCUUAUAGUGAAAGGAUACUAAACUGAGUAUACAAAACUUGCAAGAUGGGAGUGAUCAGCUGGCCAGCAUCGAAGGGAUGGAUUUGUAUUCGUGUCUCAGCAGUGCAAGCAUAAUGUUUUCCUUUGGCAUCCAAGAGAGAAGAGAUGUCAGACAGUUGAUACCAGAGCUGCCACCUGACUCGUCGCUGAAUGCCAAAGCACACCUCUGUGUUCUACUUAACAUUGGUGAAUCUAUAUUUAUUUCCAAUCCAACCUUGUGACAGGCUACGGAGAAGGAUCCUUAGAGACCGUAUUACUGAUUCUGCAUGUGCAGAGCUUGGACAGAUCUCCUGUUGGCCUCAUUCUUUGAAGAUCUGUCACCAGUGUUUGAGAAGAGUCAUGGCCUUUAGAUGUGUGGAUGGACUGGGUGAUUAGACUACUUAUUCAUAGGUUCUUCCCCUUCUGCGGCUAGGCUGCAUGCCUCACAUCUUUGGUCAACUGCAGAAAGAAGCUGGAGCUGGUGUGUUACUGCUGUCAGCUGUACCGUCCACUAGUUUGAGAGGCCUUUCCUUAUCCUAUGAACAACUUCCACUGGAUGCAAGUGCUUCAAUGGAAUCAAAUGUCUCCCCUGUGAACAGCUGGAUCCAGAAUGAACUCAAGUCAGGCAACUACCUCCAACUACCUUGUGCUGACAAACGAAACCUCUCAAGUCAACCUGCCAGUUUGUCCUGCAGUCCUGUCAAAAGAUUCUAUUCCUAAGCAAACGGGUCUAUAUGCGAUGCAGAAAUUGAGUGCAAUCCCUAUGAAUAGCAGCUGAAUCUCUUUUCAUGUUUGCUAAGGUUUAAACUGAAGAUGAAGGCCAACAUUCAGGAUGAGGUUGGAUUUGAGUAAAUGUGGUCUGAUUCAAAACCUUGACAUUAUUUUGUUUUUAUUUGGUACCACACAAAUAUUUUGUUUAAAAACCAGAACCAUAUGGCUCUCCAGAUUUUACUGAAGUUGUUCCACUACUUGACUGCAUUGCCUCAAAUUCAGAAGACACCUCCCUGAACUGUUUUUUGUGUCCUAGUUACUUCUUCAGGCCUGUGAUUUACAGGUAUUCUGCUUGUUGCCCUUUUAGUUUUAAGGUAACUUGUUGAACUGAUUCCCUACCAGUCCUUCAAUUUAAAUCCCAGCCUUUUAAAACAACUGAGUUCCAGUUUUUACAGAAUACGGUACAGAAUACACCACACCAGCGUGCAUUCCUGCCUAUCUUGUCCAGUUGCAUUCUAGACUUCUGUAUGACAAAAAAACCACUUUACGGAGGAACAGUGUAACACAGAUGUGAACACUGAGCUGGACCACAUACCAACGAUCCUUCAGUAAUACCUUCCUUUAAAGACAGGGUCACUGGCAGAAGGGCCUAUUGAAACCAGAAAUAAUAUAUUGUAACUCAGAAGUUUCAAAGGAGUGUACAAACAGAAAAGACAUUUCCAUGUACUGCUGGCACUGCACCUGACGGAAGAUGAGUUAGCUGGUGCACUUCCUUCAGAAUUUGUGCAACUCUAAGAUGUAAAGCAACAAGAUGCAGUUACAGUGCUCAAAUAAAGCAAUGAGCUAAAAACUGGAGAGGUGUUAGUUGUAGCUUUCUUUCUAACUUGCACGAUCUUUCACAGCCUUCCCUAAAGUUUCAUCAGAAUCUCUCCUAAACUCCUCUGCUAUUUACAGUAAAGUCUGUAUCUCAACUGUGAAAUGGCCACAUUUUGGAGUAUGGUAAAGUUAUUCUUGUCAUGUAUAGACCAGUUGUGCUUUAUCUACGUAGCUCAACUUAGAUACAACACAUCCUUUUCUGCAAAUAGACUGGGAACUGGUCACUGGACCUACAGUUUACCAGAAGAAGCCUAGAAAGAGGGCUUUAAGAGGGAAGGCUUUUCAAUAAUGUACCUGUCAAGUUUAGUUUAUUCAGGUCACAUACUGAGACAUGACAUUUGAUGAUUAAUCUCAAAUAAGAGGAAACAGUGGCUCCUCUGAUUGGGCAACAAACUCAGCCUCACUGGUGAUCUCAAGUCAGUGCUAAUUCAGCAAGAAGACCACCACCUAACAGAGCUCCCAUACAGUACAGAUGCAAUACCUGUUAGAUUCAGGGCUUUUCUAGAUUGAUUUCAUUCUAGUAUGUCGAUAGACAAAAAGCUACAACUAGUAUCUUUUCUUGUUUCCUUUUAUUCUUGAAUAUUUUUGUUUUUUGUUUCGCAUGUGUUCUUUAUCUUCACUGCAAAGCUGCAAACUAAAACUUUCUUAUCAGGUUUUUAUUCAACAUUUGCAAAUCUUUUUGCUUCUUUUUUUUUUGUAAUAUAGCACAUCUAUUUCUUUGGCAAAUUUCUUGUAACUUAACUUUCUCUUUUAAUACUCACAUCUAUUCUAUUAUUCUUCUCUUUUUAAUCUGAAUUUAAUAUUAACAUCACAGCGUCCCCCUAAUUUAAAGAAUUGGACUAGAAACGUUGGUGGUCCUCAGCUGGUCCUCAGUUCUAUUAACAUCCGAGUCUUAAUGAGCUAAAAAACUCUCAAUGUAUAAAAGCAACCCCAAUAGUUGUAUUUCAGAUUAUUCUGUCCUUAAGCACUGCAGCUAUGCCACAAGCCUGCAAACCAAUCCAUACAGGUAAACUUUUAGAUCAGCAGUGGCUUGCUGAAGUCACAAGAGCUCUCAAAAUACAUCCAAUUGUAGAAGCAAUUCUAGUUUAGGUCCUAGACAACAUACUUCAUCUAAAACAAAAAAAACUGAUACUAUUUAGUAAUACCCUUUUAAUUAGCAAGGCCCGUUUUCUUAAUGUCAUUCCCACCUUCCCAGUAUACAAACAGGAAUCAUUUCUUGUACAGUUCAAUCUUUAAAUGAACUGUAUCAGAAGUUCAAAGUUACCUGUAAUAAUUCUGAUUCCAGCAUGACAGCGUAUCAUCCAAUUCACUAAAAAUGUCUAAUGCUGUACAGGAAAUUUCAGAUUUAAACCAGCUGUAGAAGACUUUUUUUAGAUCCUACAGCAGCCUUACACUGCACAUAAUCUCGCAUUUUCAUCUUGCCCCUGAAACUUGCUCGUGUAUAUAUAUGUAAUUCCUUUUUAAGGUUGUGUAUUCUAGCUUAUACUGGCCAAAAAGUAUUUCUGACAUUAUCAUAUUAUUACGCCAAAUAAGCGUGACUUCUGUUCCUAGUCACUACUUGUGCUUCUUAGGGAGUACUGAAACUAAAAUAAGUAAGACUACAAAACAUGCAGUAAGAGCAAUCUUCUGCUGAUGGGAAGAUACUGCUGGCUUCCUCCAUCGUGACUUCCUGCCAUUACAUUCACAUUAUCAUGGUCUGUUUUUCCUGGUCUGUGAUAGUUUUGGGCUAAGGCUGGGCACUUACUGCAAGGUCAUAGUGAUGGGCUGAUUCAGAAGCACUGUUUAUUCUCCGUUUGGGGAAUAUGCUGACAAUCCUGGCCAGCAGAAUUCCCUGGCUAGCCGAUAGCUUCAGCUACCUAGCACAAACACGGACAGAUAAGAAUAUGCUUAACCUAUCUCCCAUGGAAUUCUCAGUGACAACAGUUCUUCAGCCCAGUGCUUUUCAACCUCAUUCACAGACCUCCAGAAUUCUCUAUGAAAGAUAACUAAGAAAAAAGCACGCUCUGGGGAGCCUGGAAGCUGAGGGUCGCCUGCUGCCAUGGCCUACGUGCUGCUGCAUCACGCCUCAGAUGCGGGGCAGCUGAGGCCACGCUGGGCUGGUGCACCCUUAAGGGAGCCCCUCAUGAGCUCUGGGGGUGCGACAGAAGCAGGCCCUGCCAAUCGUCUGUGCACCAUCACGUACACGGACAGUGCUUUAUACCGAUUUCCUGUCAGAGUUCAGUUUCCUACGUUUCCUCGUGUUGCAAAACACGAAGGACAGAGCAGCCAACCGAUCAUAAGGGGAAUCUUGUCAGCGCCCAUUACUGUGACUGAAAGAAGCCCGUGUGCGAGAAUAACUGCUUGGCCCCUUCUCUGAGGCCUCUGCUGAGCCCUCGCGUCUCUGGAGGGCUGUGCCUGACGCGGGAGCCGCUCAGCCGGCCGCCAGGUGCGAGCCGCGGCCGC